rnacentral:rRNA from 1 species
UACGUAGGGGGCGAGCGUUGUCCGGAUUUAUUGGGCGUAAAAGGCUUGUAGGUGGCCACGCCAGGUCGGAUGUGAAAUCUCCCGGCUCAACUGGGAGGGGUCAUUCGAUACUGGCGGGCUCGAGGCCGGUAGGGGGAAGCGGAAUUCCCGGUGUAGUGGUGGAAUGCGUAGAUAUCGGGAGGAACACCAGUGGCGAAGGCGACUACCUGGCCUGUUCUUGACGCUGAGGCGCGAAAGCUAGGGGAGCAAACGGG